GACGUAGCUCGCGUGGCCCCUCCCGGAACUGCAUGGAGACUUCAUCCCUCACAGUCUUCAGAAAGUGUAGGGGCUUGAUUAUGGAUGAUAACGACAUGUUAUCAAUUUUCUUUUAAGAUCCAUUUGAGUAUAUCAGAUUAUGAAAUAAUUUGAUAAUUUUUAAAAAUUAUUUAUUUAAAAAAAUAAUUAUAAAAAAAAUAAUUUUUACUAUAUUUGUGAAAAAAUUACUUCAAAAAUGGAUGCCGGAAAA
rnacentral:lncRNA from 1 species